rnacentral:rRNA from 1 species
AAUCAACGCUGGCGGCGUGCCUAACACAUGCAAGUCGAACGCGAAAACCCCGCAAGGGGUUAGUAGAGUGGCAAACGGGUGAGUAACACGUGGGUGACCUGCCUUCGAGUGGGGGAUAACGUCCCGAAAGGGACGCUAAUACCGCAUGACAUCCUGCCUUUGAAGAGGCGGAGAUCAAAGCUGGGGACCGCAAGGCCUAGCGCUUGAAGAGGGGCCCGCGCCUGAUUAGCUAGUUGGUGGGGUAANGGCUCACCAAGGCAACGAUCAGUAUCCGGCCUGAGAGGGCGGACGGACACACUGGGACUGAGACACGGCCCAGACUCCUACGGGAGGCANCAGUGGGGAAUUGUUCGCAAUGGGCGCAAGCCUGACGACGCAACGCCGCGUGGAGGAU